ACUUGUAUUCAUUGCAAUCAUUCACUUAAAAAACAAAAUGUAACCACAUUGUAACUUUUAUUUUGCUGGAAAGAUUUUGUUGGCGUAUAUAAGCUGUAAGGGAAGAAAAUAAAGACAGGAGAGAAGGAAAACACCAGGAAAGAUGUAGAAAGAAGACAUCAGGAAGCAGCUAGAAGGAAGACAUCAGGAAAGGCAGAAGGGAAACGUCAGGGUAGAACAGAACAGAAAAAGAACAGAGUAAAAAAAGCAACAGAAAGAAUAAUAAAAUGAAGAACUAAGCUUUGGCCCUCAGAAAAGUCCUUGUGUCUGUUUGUCUGUCCAGUAGUUCGCCUACUCUGCAUCUCCUCUUCAGUUUCUCUGACCAGCUGAAGGCUUGGCAUUCAUCAGCACCCUAGGACAGAAGUCGAGCAUUUAUAGAGUGAAAGCUCUGAUACAGUCACACCUAACCCAUUGCCCGCUGUGCUGUGCCCCAGAGAACUCAGCAUCCAGCCUGCAUGCAAACAGACUUUCCUAAACAGCAGAGUGACAGCAGGCCCAAGGGAGAUGAAGAGCUGCAGGGAUUGAGGGUUCCACUCCAGUGCCUCCGGCUGUUAUUUCAGAACUCUUCUUAUUUGGUUAUUGUCACCCAAGCAGAUAUUCCUUGGUCUGUUUUGGUCUAACAGUAAAUGAAAUGACCCCCUAGUCUCUGUUCUUACUGUACCUUGUCCUCUAGUUUGGAUAUGGCUAAUAAAGCAAAAUAAUUUUCUCCUCCA